GGGGCCAUCCCGGCUUACCAACCCGAUGCAAACUGCGAAUACCGGAGAAUGUUAUCACGGGAGACACACGGCGGGUGCUAACGUCCGUCGUGAAGAGGGAAACAACCCAGACCGCCAGCUAAGGUCCCAAAGUCAUGGUUAAGUGGGAAACGAUGUGGGAAGGCCCAGACAGCCAGGAUGUUGGCUUAGAAGCAGCCAUCAUUUAAAGAAAGCGUAAUAGCUCACUGGUCGAGUCGGCCUGCGCGGAAGAUGUAACGGGGCUAAACCAUGCACCGAAGCUGCGGCAGCGACGCUGAUGCGUUGUUGGGUAGGGGAGCGUUCUGUAAGCCUGUGAAGGUGGCCUGUGAGGGUUGCUGGAGGUAUCAGAAGUGCGAAUGCUGACAUAAGUAACGAUAAAGCGGGUGAAAAGCCCGCUCGCCGGAAGACCAAGGGUUCCUGUCCAACGUUAAUCGGGGCAGGGUGAGUCGACCCCUAAGGCGAGGCCGAAAGGCGUAGUCGAUGGGAAACGGGUUAAUAUUCCCGUACUUGGUGUUACUGCGAAGGGGGGACGGAGAAGGCUAUGUUGGCCGGGCGACGGUUGUCCCGGUUUAAGCGUGUAGGUGUGUGUUCCAGGUAAAUCCGGUUCACUUUAACACUGAGGCGUGAUGACGAGGCACUACGGUGCUGAAGCAACAAAUGCCCUGCUUCCAGGAAAAGCCUCUAAGCAUCAGGUAACAUCAAAUCGUACCCCAAACCGACACAGGUGGUCAGGUAGAGAAUACCAAGGCGCUUGAGAGAACUCGGGUGAAGGAACUAGGCAAAAUGGUGCCGUAACUUCGGGAGAAGGCACGCUGACAC
rnacentral:rRNA from 1 species